rnacentral:rRNA from 1 species
GACGAACGCUGGCGGCAUGCCUAAUACAUGCAAGUCGAGCGAACAGAUGAAGUGCUUGCACUUCUGACGUUAGCGGCGAACGGGUGAGUAACACGUAAGGAAUCUACCUAUAAGCGGGGGAUAACAUUCGGAAACGGGUGCUAAUACCGCAUAAUAUCUUCUUCCGCAUGGAAGGAGAUUGAAAGACGGCUCUGCUGUCACUUAUAGGUGACCUUGCGGUGCAUUAGUUAGUUGGUGGGGUAACGGCCUACCAUGCCGAUGAUGCAUAGCCGACCUGAGAGGGUGAUCGGCCACAUUGGGACUGAGACACGGCCCAAACUCCUACGGGAGGCAGCAGUAGGGAAUCUUCCGCAAUGGGCGAAAGCCUGACGGAGCAAUGCCGCGUGAGUGAAGAAGGCCUUCGGGUCGUAAAACUCUGUUGUAAGAGAAGAACAAAUUGUAGAGUAACUGCUACAGUCUUGACGGUAUCUUAUCAGAGAGCCACGGCUAACUACGUGCCAGCCGCCGCCGUAA